rnacentral:rRNA from 1 species
CCCUUAGAUGUUCUGGGCCGCACACGCGCUACACUGAAGGAGGCAGCGUGUACUCCUGGAUCGAAAGAUUUGGGUAACCCGCGAAUCUCCUUCGUGCUAGGGAUUGAGGUUUGCAAUUAUCCUUCAUGAACGAGGAAUUCCCAGUAAGUGCAAGUCAUAAGCUUGCGCUGACUACGUCCCUGCCCUUUGUACACACCGCCCGUCGCUACUACCGAUUGAAUGAUUUAGUGAGGGCUUCGGACUGGGACCGAUGCGGCUUUCGGGCUGCGUCGGUAUUCUGGAAAGAUGUCCAAACUGUAUCAUUUAGAGGAAGUAAAAGUCGUAACA